rnacentral:snoRNA from 1 species
GUUGGGAGGAGUGUGAAAUGGAAAUGUAAUUAUUUCUUCCUCUAAGAAGUUCUGAUAGCUC